rnacentral:rRNA from 1 species
ACGGAAGGCAGCAGUGAGGAAUAUUGGUCAAUGGGCGCGAGCCUGAACCAGCCAAGUAGCGUGAAGGAUGACUGCCCUAUGGGUUGUAAACUUCUUUUGUGCGGGGGUAAAGUGUCCCACGUGUGGGAUAUUGCAAGUACCGCACGAAUAAGCAUCGGCUAACUCCGUGCCAGCAGCCGCGGUAAUACGGAGGAUGCGAGCGUUAUCCGGAUUUAUUGGGUUUAAAGGGAGCGUAGGCCGGUCGAUUAGUCAGUUGUGAAAUCCUGCCGCUCAACGGCAGCAUUGCAGUUGAAACUGUCGACCUUGAGUGGGGCAGAGGCAGGCGGAAUUCAUGGUGUAGCGGUGAAAUGCUUAGAUAUCAUGAAGAACUCCGAUUGCGAAGGCAGCUUGCUGGACCCUAACUGACGCUGAAGCUCGAAAGUGCGGGUAUCAAACAGGAUUAGAUACCCUGGUA